UGUAUGCAAUCAUUCUAGCUCUUAUUUAUUAUCCAGGAGAUAUAAAUAUAAUAUCUGAUUCAGCCUAUUCAGUAGGUGUGGUACAAAGAAUUGCCACAGCCCAAAUAAAAUUUUUAACCUCUAAUAUAUAUCAGCUCUUUAAGAAACUUCAAGAGCAAGUGAGAAAGCAUCCAGGUAAGAUUUAUAUCUUGCAUGUCCACUCUCAUAGUGGACUUCUAGGUCCUAUUUUUGAUGGUAAUUCAAAGGCAGAUAGCCUUUUAACUGUGUUGGCCAAUACGCCUUUAUUCCAAGAAGCCCAGGAAUCUCAUUCUAAAUAUCAUCAGGCUGCUUGAGCUUUGCGUUUACAAUUUGGAAUAACAAGAGAGGAAGCUAGGAGCAUAGUAAAAGCCUAUACGGCUUGUCUUCCUUUCCAUGCUCCUACACUGCCUCCAGGGAAGAACUCUCAUGGUUUGAGACCCAAUGAAAUCUGGCAAAUGGAUGUGACCCAUUAUAAAUCUUUUGGUCACCUGUCUUUUUUUUUUUUUAAUAUUUUAUUUUAUUUUAUAAUAACUUUAUAUUGACAGAAUCCAUGCCAGGGUAAUCUUUUUUACAACAUUAUCCCUUGCACUUGCUUCUGUUCCUAUUUUUCCCUCCCUCCCUCUACUCCUUCCCCUAGAUGGCAAGCAGUCCUAUAUAUGUUAAAUAUGUUGCAGUAUAUCCUAGAUACAAUAUAUGUGUGCAGAACCAAGCAGUUCUCUUGUUGCACAGGGAGAAUUGGAUUCAAAAGGUAAAAAAACAACUCGGAAAGAAAAACAAAAAUGCAAAUAGUUUACAUUCGUUUCCCAGUGUUCUUUCUUUGGGUGUAGCUGCUUCUGUCCAUUAUUUAUCAAUUGAAAUUGAGUCUUUGUCAAAGAAAUCCACUUCCAUCAGAAUACAUCCUCAUACAAUAUCGUUGUCGAAGUGUAAAGUGAUCUCCUGGUUCUGCUCAUUUCACUUAGCAUCAGUUCAUGUAAGUCUCUCCAAGCCUCUCUGUAUUCAUCCUGCUGGUCAUUUCUUACAGAACAAUAAUAUUCCAUAACAUUCAUAUACCACAAUUUACCCAGCCAUUCUCCAAUUGAUGGGCAUCCAUUCAAUUUCCAGUUUCUAGCCACUACAAACAGGGCUGCCACAAACAUUUUAGCACAUACAGGUCCCUUUCCCUUCUUUAGUAUUUCUUUGGGAUAUAAGCCCAAUAGAAACACUGCUGGAUCAAAGGGUAUGCACAAUUUGGUAACUUUUUGGGCAUAAUUCCGAUUGCUCUCCAGAAUGGUUGGAUACAUUCACAGUUCCACCAACAAUGCACCAGUGUCCCAGUUUUCCUGCAUCUCCUCCAACAUUCAUCAUUAUUUUUUCCUGUCAUCUUAGCCAAUCUGACAGGUGUGUAGUGGUAUCUCAGAGUUGUCUUAAUUUGCAUUUCUCCGAUCUAUAAUGAUUUGGAACACUCUUUCAUAUGAGUGGUAAUAGUUUCAAUUUCAUCAUCUGAAAAUUGUCUGUUCAUAUCCUUUGACCAUUUAUGGUCGCCUGUCUUUUAUCCACAUUGUGGUGGACACCUUUUCAGGAUUCACUUUUGCAAUACCAGCAGCAAAAGAGACAGCCCAAGUGGUCACUGAAUUCCUCACACAAGCAUUUGCCAUUAUGGGUGUGCCACAAGCAAUAAAAAGAGAUAAUGGACCUGCAUAUACCUCCAAACAUUUUGCACACUUUUGUGCACAGUAUAAGAUUUUACACACCACUGGCAUACCCUUUAAUCCUCAAGGACAGGCAAUAGUAGAGAGGAGAAACAGAGACAUUAAGACACUUCUGCAAAAACAAAAGAAAGGGGGAGCCACAGGUAAUCCUAGAGAACUACGAAAUCUAACCCUUUAUACUAUUAAGUUCUUGAUUUUUGACAAGAUGCACUGGCUCCGGCAGACAGGUUUUAUAACCCACCGGAAGGGCAGUGUCCAGUGCGAGCAGCUCCACUAUCUUUAGAUAAUCACCAGGUGAUGUGGAGAGACCCAGAAAGUGGUGAAUGGAAGGGACCAGAUAGGCUAACUGCUUGGGGGAGAAGGUUUGCUUGUAUCUCUACAGAUGGAGAAGGAAUCAGAUGGGUGCCAACAAGCUGUAUUCACCUUGUCCAUCGGAGAGAAAUGGAGCAGACCCUUGAAAUGAAGGCUCUUUGUUACAUAUUCUUUCCUGCUGUUUUCAAAGAGUGAAGAUCCCAGUUUGCCCACAAAAUAAAUGAAGCUGGCAGCAAUUCCCCAAUGAUCUGGGAAUUUGGGCCAUAGACACCUUACAGGACACCAGCAGGAUAUUGGAGCCAUCUAGCUGGCAGAAGAACCUGAAGGAGCCAGGUUGCCUGGGACUUUACCCUGAAGAGGUUUAAGCCUUGAAAAUGGGACUGUAUAUUCUAUAAGAACUAGGUUAAGUUAUGAACCUAAUCCCCUUUACCUCUCCAGAGAGGGACACAGAAGAAAAUUAAGUCCCAUAUAUUGGGGAAAUAAAUUUGCAUAUUUGAUUAUG